CAGAAACCAAAGGCAUGGCAUAGGUUAGGACUCGUGUUCCAAAUUCAGCCAUCCUUCCCUCACCACCACCUGCUGGCCCUUCCACAGGUACUUUACAGAAGUACAGAUAACCCAGUAUUUCCUUGCUGGGGUGACAACUGUUUAGAAAAAGGUGUUGGAGGAGUUGAGAGGACUGACAAUCACCCCAUGUUCAGGAAGUUUCUCUAUCCUCUCCCUAUGAACAACUCACUGCAUGGCUGAGGGUGAGUCUGCCAAGCAACCUCUCAAAGGCCAUUGCUCUUGGGAUUAGAAAGCUCUCCUCUGUUCCAAGAAAAAAAAAACACUACCACCAGUAUUUUAGGACAUAUUUGUUUUCAUGAGCUCUGUUCCAGUGAUCAUUUUGGAAGGCUGCCUAAAGCUGAAGACGAGAAGAGGCACUGCUGCAGAAUUCAACUUUAGACUUUGAGCUUUAACGAGCGUGACCUUCUCCCAAAACCUGCCAGGCUUGGCAGCUCUCUGAGAGCUCCUUUUCACACACCAACAUCAAACAGUUUCUCCCUGCAACUCUGUCUCAGGAAGAAAAUAGGAUUUGCAGUAGUCACAGACAGUACAAAAGCACCACAAGACCAGGAACAGCUGAAGGAAAGGACACAGCAGCCACAGAUGCUGUUUACACCCGGGCUGCAUCAGGGACUCAGAGCAGGCUGCAGAUACCUCUUAUACAUGACUUACAUCAAUUAAAUUUCUGCUAAAGCAGAAAACUGCAGCUGGAAACUCCAAGCAGACUUCAGCCCUAUUUUCCUGUGUGAGCAGGAGAGAGAAGGUUGAGCAUCUCACCAGACUCUCAGAUCAUAUGGUUAUUGAAAGGCUCAGGCCAAUUUUUUUGGUGUUCUCUGCCUCAAGAGCCUAACCCAGUUCCUAGGUCUGAACUCUCCCUGUUUUCACAAGCUUUUAAUUUUCCAGGGGUUUGUGGCAGAAGACAGAAGCUAGCUUAGCCUUGAAAGCCCAGGCCUACUGGAUGUUAAUAUGUAACAUCUUAAGUUUUAUCAGUUCCAGACAUAUUUCUUGACUCAUCCUUCAAAACUGCCUCAAGCCCAUCAAUAACUUCCAGCAAGGAGGAAGAGAGGCUGCUGGCAGCUUCAAAAGAGUACUCCAGCAUAUGCUUGCACCUUGAAACAAGCUCUGUGGAGCUCUGAGCUAAAAAGCACUCUUAGAUAAUCUUUCCAGCAUGCUCCCUACUCUUAUGCCUAUU
rnacentral:lncRNA from 1 species